UACGUAGGGGGCUAGCGUUGUCCGGAUUUAUUGGGCGUAAAGAGCGUGUAGGCGGCCAGGUAGGUCUGCUGUGAAAACUCGAGGCUUAACCUCGAGAUGUCGGCGGAAACCAUCUGGCUAGAGUCCGGAAGAGGAGAGUGGAAUUCCUGGUGUAGCGGUGAAAUGCGUAGAUAUCAGGAGGAACACCGAUGGCGAAGGCAGCUGCCUGGCCUAACACUGACGCUGAGGUGCGAAAGCGUGGGGAGCGAACGGG
rnacentral:rRNA from 1 species